rnacentral:rRNA from 1 species
AAUUCGCCCUUAGAGUUUGAUCCUGGCUCAGGACGAACGCUGGCGGCGUGCCUAACACAUGCAAGUCGAACGGACGAGAGGAGCUUGCUCCUCAAGUUAGUGGCGAACGGGUGAGUAACGCGUGAGCAACCUGCCUUUCAGAGGGGGACAACGGUUGGAAACGACCGCUAAUACCGCAUGAAGCAGUUGGAUCGCAUGAUCUGACUGCCAAAGAUUUAUCGCUGAAAGAUGGGCUCGCGUCUGAUUAGAUAGUUGGUGAGGUAACGGCCCACCAAGCCGACGAUCAGUAGCCGGUCUGAGAGGAUGAACGGCCACAUUGGGACUGAGACACGGCCCAGACUCCUACGGGAGGCAGCAGUGGGGGAUAUUGCGCAAUGGGGGAAACCCUGACGCAGCAAUGCCGCGUGGAGGAUUGAAGGUCUUCGGAUUGUAAACUCCUUUUGUCAGGGAAGAUAAUGACGGUACCUGACGAAUAAGCUCCGGCUAACUACGUGCCAGCAGCCGCGGUAAUACGUAGGGAGCAAGCGUUGUCCGGAUUUACUGGGUGUAAAGGGUGCGUAGGCGGCUUUGCAAGUCAGCUGUGAAAUCUGUGGGCUCAACCCACAAAUUGCAGUUGAAACUGUAGAGCUUGAGUGAAGUAGAGGUAGGCGGAAUUCCCAGUGUAGCGGUGAAAUGCGUAGAUAUCACGAAGAACCCCGAUUGCGAAGGCAGCGUACCAGGCCGUAACUGACGCUAAUGCUCGAAGGUGCGGGUAUCGAACAGGAUUAGAUACCCUGGUAGUCCGCACGGUAAACGAUGGAUGCCCGCUGU